UAUUGAACAAUAUAUGUAAUAUAUAUAAUAUCAAAUAUGAAAAGGAGUAGAAAUUAAAUAUUAAAAAUAGGUGUAAGUUUUCUGUAUUUAAAGGGGUUUUUUUUUUGUUUUUAUUUGGUCAGGGGUAGGGAGUUUUUUAGUUGUGGUCGGGCUUUUUUUGGGGCAUUUUGUAGGAUUGGGACUCUCCUUUUUGCCCCGGGAGCUCGAGGCUGGCCCGAGCCUGUGGCCUCUCCCGCAGGUGAGUGUGACACGGUAGAGAAGGGAGCCAGGCAGUGCUCUGGGACUUUGAAUCUACCCAACUGUUUUCCAAAUGUAUUUGCAGAGAUUCAGCUGUGGGGAAGCUGCAGAGAAGGCUGCCUGGCACAGCCCCCCAGAAUGGGCCUCCCCCGACUGGGCUCCCGCAGAGGAUGGGGCAGUUGCAGCCCCCUGUCAUUCCUGUGAGAUUUGGUAAGUCUGGGGAGGGGUUUCCUGACUGUCCCUGUCUCCAAGCGAGCCGUGCCUCGUUGUCCAGAAGCCCUGCCUGGGCAGCCCGGCCCGGCACAGCUCCAUUCCCUCUCCCGGGCUCACCGGAGGGAUGCAGAGCCACCAAAGUGCGGGUCAGGCUGGAAAGGGGACGGUGGGGCCUGCGGCCACAGCAGGGGGAAGGACAGGAGGCAAAGCCUCUCGACCAGCCCUGGGCCCAGCCUGCCCAGGAGAAGCUUCCGAGAGGCGCCGGGGCUCUCGUUUGCCCGGAAAGCUGCAGCCGUUGGGGCAGGUCUCGGGCUGUGACCCAGCCCCUGCAGCACUGCAGAGAAAAGGGGCACGUGAUGGCCCACGGGGUCGGCUGCAGUCCUUAAGAGCAGUGCCUGCUUUCACCACUGCCUUUUGCUGCCUGCAGAGAUCUGUGCUGAGGGUUGGCAGCUCCUGCUGGGGCAAGAGCUGCAUCUUCCAAGAGGCAAAGCUGCAGCAUCUUCCUCCCCAGGGACUGUCUCCAUGCAGGAAGCAGCACAGGGGACUGGCCGAAGGGCUCGGGCUGGGACACGGCCCCAACAGGAGCAGCCCUGGCACACUGACACGGGAGGAUGAGCCCAGGUGAGGAGCACGGGCCCAGCGUGGCACCAAGACAGGCAUCUCCUGUGGGUUAUGUGGGGCUGUGCUGUGCACCCUGGGGGUGCUGACUGACCCCCUUUGUGCCGAGACAGAGGAGAUGCUGCUGCACCACGUCCCCAGGAGAGCCCCUGCCUCCUUCUGCUCUCAGGGAUGGGACUGGGAGACGCCUCCACGCCGAGAGUGGCACUUGGCAUGGCUUCAGUCCCCAGUGGAAGAGGCUGGGCUCCCCGCUGCCCAGAGCUCCUGGUUAGGGACACCCACGCCUGCGCCUGGCUCAGAGUCCAGGGUGCACUCAGUCCGGAUCCAGCCUCGAGAUGUUCCUGCUGCAGCUGCAGGUGUUUCCCAGUCCAGCUUGCUGAACCUCCAGCUCUGACUGUGGCACAUUCUUCCUUCCAGCUCUGGCUCUGAGAUGCUGCACUUGAUGGCUGCUCCAGUUCCUUCCAGCUCUGGGUUGGUUUUUUCAAGCACCACUACAAGGAGAUGCUGGAGGGCACCAAGACCCCCGGGGUGCCCCAGGACUGAGUGGGAGGAGCCCAAAAAUUUUGGGCACCCCAUCCCCCCAAAAUAUUAAAUUGACA